UCAUUCUCUCUCUCUCUCUCUCUCUCUCUCUCUGGACAUUAGAGCUCAUACAAAAGUGACUGAAAAUAAAAUAAUGGUCUCUAGUUUCAAGUGCAAAUUUCAUUGAAAUUCAAUGAAAGCUGAUAAAUAUUCAAUUACCAGAUGAAUCUAACAUUAGGGAAGCCUGACUAAUUUUUAUAAAUCUUUUACUUCCUCAGCAGAAUACUACAUUUGUCCACUUUCGUGAGAAGCGGCAUAACACUAAUAGAAGUCUAAUGUGAUUUAACAGUGAAAUCAAACAUUCUGUUAAGGAAAAAAAAUUUACAGGAGUGUGUUGGUCUUACUUUAGUAAGAGCAACACACUCAAAAUGAUUAUAUUUAUCCUGAAGCCCGACGAUGAGUGAAAAGACUAAUAUGUCAAGCAAAGUGUAGGCAUCAAGAAAACAUUGGUACCAUCUGUAAUGCUAAUCCAAAGUCUCUUAAAUAACAUAAACAACAGGAAGGAUAUCAGAAGUGGCAUUGAACCAUUACCUGACAGCAACGAGAUGAGUUUGUAACUGAAAGCUGGCGCGCUGCGAAUUUGUUGAAUAAUUAUUUUUCCUCAGUAUUCAACACUAACAGUCUUACCGGCACUGCCACCAGUAUCAGCAAAGACAAUAGUGUUAACUAUAAUCCCAUUCAUACCAUGUCUAACUUUGUAAUAACUUCCGAUGAAGUCCUUAAAAGUCCAGGCCAGACAAUGUAUAUCCUAUACUACUCAAAGAAACAAAAAGCAAAAAUAUUCUCCUCUCUCACAACCGUAUUCAACAUGUCCUUGCUACAAGGUAUCAUCCCUUCAGAUUAGAAAAUGGCUAACGUAGCACCAAUUUCUAAGAGAGGAGACAAAAAGUACGGGUAAUUACAGGCCCAUCAAUCUAACUUCUGUAGUAAGUUACUGGAAAGCAGAAUUAGGCAAAAUUGUGAUAAACCUUGAAAGCCACUCACUAAUUAAGGAUUCACAACAUGACAUCAGUAACAAGAGAUCCUGCUUAUCGAACUCCUUGACCUUUUAUAAUGAGUGCCAGGUUCUUCAAGUGUUGACAAAAAAAACUAAGAGGUUCAAUUACGAAAUGUUUGAUGUGAAACUGUAACACUUUCUCUGUACAUUAGUUUAGUCAGACCCGACUUGGAAUAUGCGGUAGAGUUUAGGUUUCCUCACCAAGCGAAGGUGUUCAAAUGAGGGCAAGAAAGAUGAUCUCUUCCUUGCGCAACAAGUCUAACGAUUAAAUGUCCUGAUCUCUAAACAUGUUCCUUGUCGAGAAACGUCGCCUCUGAAGAAAACUGAUCGAAUGCUUCAGAAUACUCAAUGGUAUUACGAAUAUGGACAAAUCCAAAUUGUUUAUGAUCGCUGACACGUUCCGAACAAGAAAAAAAUGGGAAAAACUAGUUUAAACAAAUAAAUUCAGACCACCAAAUUUUUCUUCAUCAACAUUGUAGACCGAGACUGGAACAUGUUCCCUCUUUCAGUGGUUCAGUGUAGUACAAUUGAUUAAUUUAAAAACAAGCUCGACCACCAUUUCUUUCACCAUAAUAUUCACUAAAGUAGAAAUGCAAAGUCUUGGUGGCAUUUGAUUUGAUACAAUGUCACUUAUAGGUUUCAUGACAGACCACCUAGUCUGGAUCAUGGGGUCUGCAUAGUAUGAAUAUCUAUGUACAUCUGUGUAAAUCUCUUUCUCUGUCUCUCUCAAUACAACAGCAGCAGAAUGACACAACCCUCAGCUUCAACUCCACAUUCAUGGUGCACACAAAGCAGCGAUGUGUGAAUGUCAACAACAAAGCCGAGGGAGCACACGGCGACGACUGCUCCGAUCCAGUAUACCUAGAAACAACAACACAAAACCCCUUAAAUAACACACAAACGACCAGUUACCUUCAGAAUGAUACAGAAACGACCUUCUAUCCUCAGAACAACACAUUGCUGCCUCACGAUGCUCAGAACGACACAGUGACUUAUAACCCUCAGGACACCGAACUGACCUCUGACGCUCAAACAUACACGUUGAUGACCUAUGCUCCAGAAAACGACAAAUUAAUGACCCAUGACUCACAAGACUACACACUGGUGACCUAUGAGACUCAGAAUGACACACAAAUGACCUAUAACGUGGUAGAAACGACCACUGUGGAAACACGAGCAGAGGAUGGUGUUGGUGAUGAUGGAGAUGGUGAUGAUGAUGAUGCGGUCUUGAUUGAAGAGAAAAUUGAAACGCACGUGACAGUGCUCGCAAAGGCUUCAAGAAAGAUAUUAACAUUCAAGGAUCUGAGUGUCUGGAUGAUAAUGGUGUGCAUCCUGUUCUCAUCCCUACUGAUGGUGGCGAUAAGUGGCAUACUAUUCAAGGUUGGCUUUUUUACGAGGCCGAAACGUCUGACCGUGGAACAAAAAGAAGAAAUGCGGCAGAGUGUGAGGAGAAGGAAAGAACAAAAGAAGAAUAAGGAGAAGCAGAAAGAAAACAAGCCAGAGAGGAAGUUUUCCAAUGUGAUGGUGAUGUGAGGGCGGGUAGGUCACUGAGUUAGACAAAAAAAAAAUUACUACGUAGUUAUGUCAAUAUUUAAAAUUGAUUCGGGCGUCUUAGUGGACCAAUGCUAUCACAGAUCUGUGGGAAGAAAAUAAUAAAACUGAAAGAUUGAGAAAUGUCCAACACACAGAUAUAAUAGUCAAAAUUUGCAUUCUCUGAAGAAGCGUGCACGGGCUACAUUGAAAAUUGCUUCUAAAUAUGUGGACGGAGGACACAACCGAUGUGAAUAAUGCCCUUGUAGCACUAGAUCAAUAAAGGGUUCCUAGCAAUUUUUGUAAUUCCUUAAGCAUUGAUUCAAUACAUACAUAGGCAAUAAUCAGUUUAGAAACAGAGUGGUGAAUGAGUGUAACUGACUUGACUUAUGUGGAGACUGGGGAUAUUAUAUACACCUUCAAAUUAUUUUGUAUUAGUUUGGGUUUUGUUAGGUUUACAGAAGCUGCCCAGCGUAGCCCGACUGGCCUCUUGAAGACUAUAUGUUUUUAGGUUCUUAUUUUGUUGCGGUGAUGGCUUUGAUGGUAACAGUGGUGGUGAUGCUGUAAGCGGUAGGGAGGGAGGGAAUGGUGGUGAUGUUGAUAAUGUCAAACAUAACAGUAAGUGAUAUGUAUGAAGUAAAAUAGGAAUAGCAGUGGAUACUGAGUUGUUAGGAUUUAUUGUUAAUGUUUAGGACCAUUCAUUUAAGUGUGUGUGUGUGUGUGUAUGUGUGUAUAUCACUACAAUGCUAACUGUAAAGAUAAUGAGUAGAUAUAAUGUGUCUGUGUCAAUAAGUUUACUGCAUUAAUAAAAUGUGGAAAAUA